UACGAAGGGGGCUAGCGUUGUUCGGAAUUACUGGGCGUAAAGCGCGCGCAGGCGGUCUUCCAAGUCAGUGGUGAAAGCCCGGAGCUCAACUCCGGAACUGCCAUUGAAACUGUGAGACUUGAGUACGAGAGAGGUGAGUGGAAUUCCCAGUGUAGAGGUGAAAUUCGUAGAUAUUCGCAAGAACACCAGUGGCGAAGGCGGCUCACUGGCCCGGAACUGACGCUGAGACGCGAAAGCGUGGGGAGCAAACAGG
rnacentral:rRNA from 1 species